GACGAAGGCACUGACAUGUUGUAUCUAGACUAUUUUACAAGACAAAUACAUGCAACUCACCGCCAAUUCUUGUUCGCCAAAAUGGUAAAUGAGAGAACUUUGUUCUCUAAUGUUCUCAAAACAUAUUUUUAAAGCAACAUUCAUUGCGUGAUCUUGACGAAUAACAAAACACUUCAAGUCUUCAACAACUUGUAAAUUACAGUUCUUUCAAUUGUCAAAUUGCCGUAAAUUGCUGGGUCUGAUCGUUGCCAGUCACUAAAAGAACUUAAAAUCUUUGGUUUAUUGAUGGAACGCCUCUCUUAAAAAUAUCUACUGCCCAUAAAGCAACAACCUACUAUAUGUAUAACUUAUAAUGCCUCACAUAACUAUGUUUGAACGUUUGCCGAAUAGGAUACAAACAUCUCAGUAUAGACUAACA